CACAAUUCUUACAGAUCCCUCAAGAGCUGUUUGAAAAAUAGUGGAUUUUAAAAUCUAGAAGGAGUGUGAAAGGAACCCAGGGGCUUUGCCAAUGGAGUGUCAUCAUUCAGGCCCCAUUUUGAAUCUAAACCAUCUGAUGAACCCUUUGCUGACACAUCAGCCUAUUGCUUCCUGGAAGAAUAAUUUGCACUUCAAGACUAAUUCUGAAACAAUACAAUUGCAAGGA
rnacentral:lncRNA from 1 species